rnacentral:lncRNA from 1 species
UUGUCACACGUGCAGGAGGCCAUGAAAAGAAUUUCUGCUUUUGGCAACACCUAAACAUAAGAUUUGCUCGAUCCUUCUCUGCCAAGACGGUAAGUGAAAAAUAACUUGUUAACUACAAAAAUCUUAAUGAUGGUUUAACAGCAGAGAACUGCACAGACAUAUGAAGGGGUGUUAAACAGAUUUCUUGUCAAACAAGAAGUACACCUUAUGACAUUAA